AACGAACGCUGGCGGCGUGGAUAAGACAUGCAAGUCGAACGGGACAGGUAGCAAUAUCUGUCUAGUGGCGAACGGGUGCGUAACACGUGGGCAACAUGCCUGGAAGAGCGGGAUAGCCCGGGGAAACUCGGAUUAAUACCGCAUGUGAAAACGGGGCGGCUUCGCCCUGUUUUCAAAGGUGGGGACCGCAAGGCCUGCCGCUUCCAGAUUGGCCCGCGUCCUAUCAGCUAGUUGGCGGGGUAAAAGCCCACCAAGGCGACGACGGGUAGCUGGUCUGAGAGGACGACCAGCCACACUGGAACUGAGACACGGUCAGACACCUACGGGUGGCAGCAGUCGAGAAUCUUUCACAAUGGGGGAAACCCUGAUGGAGCGACGCCGCGUGGAGGAUGACGGUCUUCGGAUUGUAAACUCCUGUCAUGAAAGAACAAGCGGGGCGGGUGAACAGCCCGCCGAGUUGAUAGUAUUUCAAGAGGAAGGGACGGCUAACUUCGUGCCAGCCGCCGCCGUAA
rnacentral:rRNA from 1 species